GUAGGGAAUAUUGGGCAAUGGACGCAAGUCUGACCCAGCCACGCCGCGUGCAGGAAGACGGCCCUCUGGGUUGUAAACUGCUUUUGACUGGGAAGAAAAGACUCCUUGCGAGGAGAGUUGACGGUACCAGCAGAAUAAGCCACGGCUAACUACGUGCCAGCAGCCGCGGUAAUACGUAGGUGGCGAGCGUUAUCCGGAUUUAUUGGGUUUAAAGGGUGCGUAGGCGGCUGAUUAAGUCAGCGGUGAAAGGUAGCAGCUUAACUGUUUUACAUGCCGUUGAUACUGGUGAGCUUGAGUUAACAGAAGGCAGAUAGAAUUUCUGGGGUAGCGGUGAAAUGCUUAGAUACCAGGAGGAAUACCGAUUGCGAAGGCAGUGGGCUGUACUUUAUCUGACACUGAGGCACGAAAGUGUGGGGAUCAAACAGGAUUAGAAACCCGGGUAGUCC
rnacentral:rRNA from 1 species